rnacentral:rRNA from 1 species
AGAACGAACGCUGGCGGCGUGCUUAACACAUGCAAGUCGAGUGCGCGUUCUUGUAGCAAUACAGGAAUGGCGCACGGCGCACGGGUGCGUAACACGUGGGUAAUCUGCCCUCCGAUGGGGAAUAACCCCGCGAAAGCGGGGCUAAUUCCGCAUAAUAUUCCUUGGACUCCGGUUCGAGGAUUCAAAGGCGUAAGUCGUCGGAGGUGGAGCCCCGCGCCCGAUUAGCUAGUUGGUGAGGUAACGGCUCACCAAGGCAAUGAUCGGUAGCU